rnacentral:lncRNA from 10 species
UUUCUUGCCUCCCUCCCCUUCCCCCACCCCUUGUCUUAAAGCAGCUGGAGAUGAGCGCCGAGGAGCUGGGUCUAGAAGACAAAACAAAACAAAAAAAAAGACUUUGCGGAACGGUCUGCCUGAAGGCUUCGGGAAGGGGACAAAGAGAACAGGCCGGGGUAGUUAUUUGUAUAAAAAGUGGGAUAUGGCGUUUUUAACGUUUGGGGGACGUCCGCAGCUUCCGCAGGGGCAGAAGGUAAGGCGCUUGUGCUCGCUAUGGCGCCGGCAGCACCAAGGACAGCGCCCAGGUCGGCGAGUGGGAGGUGCAGCCACCCGGGGGGCUUGUCACCCAGCCUGGCCUGUCAGGUUGGCAGGGGGCAGGGGGUUCCCUUCCCCCUCUUCUCUCCGAGUAAAUACAAUUUAAACCUGCCUGUAGUGACUAUCUUUGCAGGAGCGAAGCUGGAAUCACAGGCUAAGACUUCCCUGCAAUGCAGGGUUGGCACAAUGGACAGAUCGCAGAUUUUGAAAACAACCAAAAUUCAUUAAAGUCAGUUAACAGAAAUAUAUACUUGUAGCCCAGUUUGAGUUUUCUAACAUAUGGUGGUAUAGGAAAUGAAGAGAUACAGGGCCUGAAAUGUGAAGGUCAAAUACUCCUUGGAAAGGAGAAUUUGAAAUCUGUUGGGAUGAAAAGUCCAGGGAAAUAUAGUUUUUCUUAAGUUUGGACACAGACAAUUGCCUUGUCAUCUUUCGGUUCAGUAUUCCCUAUGUGUAACUGCAAUGAUUGAAAAGGCAUCUGAAUUAACUUUAAAUUGAUUUAAAAGUUGCGGAACAGAGUCACCACAACCUUGAAUAAAAUCAGAUGUUUUCCCUUCAUUUAAAAUGUAAUAUAUUUUUCGCUUUAGAUUUUAAUGAUUGAUUUGGAAUAGAUUUUCUAUAUCAUUAAACAUGUUUAUGCAAACAAGAACUCUACACAGACUUCUUGCUGUCUGGUGUACUCCUGUUAAAAUGUCCCUUUAUUUUGGGUAGUGCUUUGGGGGUAAUUCAGGUUAAAAAAGUUCAGAAUACUACAAGAUAAAGUGAAGAAGAGAUUGCAGAACUAACAACAGCGCUGGGGCCACAGGUACAAGUGACUGAAUGUGCAACGCUUGCUAUGGGUGAGAAGAAACUACUGCUUAUAAAAAGUAGGGACUCCAGACCGAAAUAGCUUCUUUUCACAGCAUGUUUCCUUAAGUCCCUGUUUUAUUAAAAGACAGGAUCAUAUUCAUCAGUAAGUAAUCAGGAAAGGGGUGGGUUUCUAGAGGUUUUAUUUUUUAUUUUUAUCAGCUCCCUUGGCCCAUCUGUAUUAAAAUAGAAAUAAUGUUUUAAACAGGAGGUGCUAAUUUUGGGAGUUACUUUGGUUUAUUAAUAUGAAACUGCAGUAUCGCAGGCCAUGUAGGAGAAGGAUGUUCUAGUUUGCUGAGAGACCUUAGGCAAGCAGAGCCCAUCCAUGUCUUGAGUUGUUGAGAGAGACAGAUGAUGGAAUGAGGGGACUGACUUGUGAAUACUGUAAAAACAGGAUUUUCUGGUUUUAUGUAGAUAAAUAAAGGCAAGGAGAAAGAAAAUUCCCUGCCUUCUGUAAAGUAUUGCGGAUGUCAGGCUGGACUCAGCAGGAUACCAUCUAGAUAAGGCCAAAUGCUAAUUAUGCAGUAAUUUUGCCUUUGUUGCUUAUUACUUUCUGCUUUUAUUGAAAUAUAUAAAAAUCCUUGGCAAUUUCAUGGUGCACAUUCACUGCAAACUCUGCAAUGAGAGUACAUGGUUAACCGGCAGCCUUCUGCUGUUAAUUUUCUUUAGGGCUUUGGAAACGAGAUGACUCUGCAGAGAGACAUUUACAAGGAAACACAUGUCUAACUUCACAAUUACCCAGUUUUGCCUUGUAUCUGAAGUAGCUGAGAAAUUGUUCAGCUUCCAGCUGGUUACAGAAGGAGGAAAGUGUUGCGUACAAACAAAAUAAGUCAGUUACUCAGGCUACAUCUAGUGCCUAUAACUUAAAAUUGUAACUUCAAUGUCACAUGAUAUAUUGUUCAAUCUGGGCACUACAGGAUAAUGCAAAGAAUUAAAACAGUUGUUUUAUUAAGAAAAAACAGUUCCCAUGGCUUAAAAAAUGAUGGAUCCAGUUUCACAUUUAGCAAAAUGUUUUCUUUUAUAUUAAACUCUUCCACUUUAACUACUCUUCCUAAAGGUGAUUUGAAGGUUAUACCCAUCAGUAAAUUUAGUAUGAAAACUUUUUUUAAAAAGCUAUAAAAGAUGUUUUUCCCUUUUUGUCUCAUAGUUUUGAAGAAUAUUUACCAUCUUAAUAGUUUUCACAGAAAGAAAUGCUUUUGCAUUUUUUUAAACCCUAAGAACACUAAGGCUAUGAAAUCUUCUCAAAAUAUUAAAAAGAGAGAAAACAAUCAUGGCAACUCACCCGGAUUAACCACACUGCAUUCAUGGAAUUAAGUUUGACUACGAUACUUUUGUAAUUUAUUCUAAAUAGAAAAGUUUCUCAUAUGAUUUAGAUGUAAGACAUUUUAAAUGAAAUUAUCUCUGAAUUGUUGUUUCAUAAGCUACAGUCUGUUUUGAAUCACUUUAUAGAGAAAUACAAGGCAUGCUCCAAUCUAUAUGUUCCUUCAGUAGGGAAAGUGAAAAUGUUAACUUUGCAGCUAAGAGAUGAUAGCCACUGUCAGGUUUUGUAGGGUGUCAUCUAAUACUGGGAAAAUAUCAUUUGCAAAGGUGGUAUAUUUACUGGGUCAUAAAAUAAAGAUAAAAAAUAAGGAGUUAGGCAUUUUCUCCCAUCUUUCCCUAUUUCCUUACAUUUCUUCUUUUAAAUAGCAUUUUUGGAUAUAAAAAAAUGCAAGGAGGAUGGGAUGUAGGAACUGGAUAGCAAGAAAGAUACUCCAGAUGGACAACGUCACUUUCAAAUUGGUAGGCUGAAUCCAUCCAAGAUGAGAUGAUCUGUACUUUCUUUCAACCUAUUGUGUCUUGAACUUAAUCCGUUUGCCUGGGAUCUGGUUCUAGAACUCAUAAUAAUUAUUUAUAACCUGUCCUCUGCUAAUUGUUUAAGGGGUUGUUGAUGUAGGAAGCUAGGGACUUAGUCUGCCGAAGCAGGAACACAAGAAAAAGGAAGCUAUAUUACAUAUUUCUACUUGAUCCUCAGGAUGUCAAACUUUAAAAGCAGUGUUGACUUUUGAUUUUGUUGUUGUCAAGAGUUGAAAGCAAAAUAAAAAUAUUCUCAGGGGAGAAAGACUGUUUCUUGUCAGGGAAAUUGGGAUGUAUAUGUAUGUCCCUAUUGUCUUUGAUCAAAACAAAUCCAUCUAGACCACAGUGUUCCUUUUCUGUCAUUAGGCCACUGAAAUGGUGUUUGUUUCCCUUGCCAAAUAUUUUAUUCUUUGAAUAUUGCCUUCUAUUUGUCAGUUACUGUUAUGAUGAAGUUAAUUGAAGUAUUUACAAAACUUAAAACAUUUAAUCUUUAUUAUAUUCCAAAUGUUAAAUUAAUCAGUUUUAAAAUUCUAUAUCUGGAAAUUUCAUGUGUGUGGUGGGGGAAAAUUUAGCUUUUGGCUUUAACAUAGCUUGCUGAUUUUUUUGCUGUGUAAUGCUUUCACCUCUCCACUGUGAAUCCUUUCUGUGAAAGCCAGGGGAGAAAGAUUUAGAAUUUUAAAAAAGUACUUAAUAGAGCCUUGGUAAAAGUGACUCUAAAAAUAAAGUUCAGUAGAUGCAUAAUAAAAGAGUACUCCUGUAUUAAUUUUCAGCAUGUUUUUAACUGAACCCAUUAGCUUUACCUAUAAAGCAGCAACAGAUGUUGAUGAUAUGCACUUGAAUUUUGAAAACCCUGCCUUGCACGUAACUGCACCAGUGCAGCUAUGAAAUAUUUAUGACAUAUUUUAUCCCAAGCUUACCAAGGCCUGACUUAGCAAGAGACAUAAUUCUUUUAUUAGAAACUCUUAAUUAAAAUGAGCUUCGUAAAACUAGAGCAGAUCAAUGAUCUUUGGACCAAAUUUCUGAAAAGAGCUAAACCUGGGAACAGAAAGUCACAAAGAAGCCCCACCUAAUAAUUCAGUCUCAUUGUCCCAGGACUGGGUGAUUUUUUUUCAAUCUCUGCAAAUUUGAAAAUCAAUAUUCUUUCAUAAUCCUUUGAAAAUGGGCUCACUGUCAUAGCUCUGUCUUGUCACUUAGCUUAUUAAGAAGAGCAUCUAUUUUAGAAUACUUAACUCACUUUUUUGGUUAAAAUUUAUAUAUAUAUGGAGUGUAGAAAUUUGCAAAAUGGAGAGAGACAAUAAUUUAAGUAUUUUCUUCUAGUCUUUUUCUCUGUAACUUAAAUAUAAAUAGGAUCUUUCUGUUUAUAUAAUCCCAUGCCCUGUUUUGUAAAGUAAAUAUAUCUGAAUAAGUAGUGUGCUAUCUUUAGAGGAAAGAACAUGGUCCUGUUUGCCAUGAGAGCUGGACUGUAGCUCGGUAUUUAACUUGAAUUUUUCUCUUAAAAAAGAUUUGGAAAGACUCUUUAGAUCAAGAAUGAUAAAAUAAUAAUAGCAAUAAUUAAUAACAAUAGUAGAUCGAGAAAGCCUAAUCAGGACUGAUAUUAAUUUCUGUCUCUUUUCUGCCUGCCUGUCUCUCUCUUUGGUUAUUGAGAGGAAUGUCAUCAUGAAGCUGAGGGCGGUGGUGUGACAGCUGGAGGUGGUAACUUGUAAUAACUUGUAAUGUGGUCUAGUCAGGCCUAAAUACUGUGUUCUUUUACACUUAGUAGUACCCUAAAUCCCAAGCCAUCAUCAUCACCACCACCAUCAGACUUUUACAUUUGGACAAUGCUUUAUAUCAAAGAAGCAAAGCAAAACAAAACAAUGUAUUCUCAUCUGAGCUGUGCACAAAUUAUUAUUUCCAUUUUAGAGUUGAUUAAAUUGCUGAUUUGUCCAAGGUCACACAUCUGGAAAGCAGUGGAGCCUAGGCCAGAACUCAUAUCUUCUGACACCCAUGCCAACAUUAGAACAAGUUUCUUUAGUAGAAUAUAAAAUCCAGUCUCAAUGAGCAUGAAAAAUAAAAGUAGGUGGAUCAUAGUCAUAUCAAUAAAAAUAACUGGUAUUUAUUAACUACUCACUAGAUGCUUGGCACUGUGCCAAAACUUUACAGAGUUCUCUCAUUUAAUCAUCUUCACAACCCUUUGAGAUGACACUUUUGUGGAAAGUGCAAUUGAGCACAGAGGCACAGGGAGGUUAAGUACCACACACAGCUUGGAGGUGGUGGAAUGAAGACAGGAAUUUAGGAGACUCUGACUCUGGAGGACAGUCCUCAGCAUGAUCAUCAGUAGGCCAUACCCACGUUAAAAAUCUCAUUUAAAAGCUAAUUGUUGAACUGCUAGGUCAUAUUAAAAAGAUUAAAGGGCCAGCUGGGUGCUGUGGCUCAUGCCUGUAAUCCCAGCACUUUGGGAGGCCGAGGCGGGUGGAUCACGAGGUCAGGAGUUCGAGAUCAGCCUGGCCAACAUAGUAAAACCCCGUCUCUACUAAAAAUACAAAGAUUAGCUGGGCAUGGUGGUGCGCGCCUGUAGUCCCAGCUAGUUGGGAAGCAGAGGCAGGAGAAUCGCUUGAACCUGGGAGAUGGAAGCUGUGGUGAGCCAAGAUCGCGCCACUGCACUCCAGCCUGGGCAACAG